rnacentral:sRNA from 1 species
AGAUCCAACCGGCUGUCCCGGGAAAGACGGACACUCUGGCUUCCACUUGCGCUUGACGAGACGAUUCAGUUGAUCAUCGACUUCUCACCGUGGGGACUUAUCCAUCUAAUUCUGGGUGAUGCUUCAGGCAUAAUAUUAAAGCCAUCCCUACUGCUCAUCUAGCUCCGGACUUGUCUACAGUAUUUUAUACAAAUUAAACCUGGGAAAAAAUGAAAACAAAAAAUUGAAGGCGCUACAGUAUCUAAUUGUCGCCUCACUUCAUGCAAGCCCGUCGUGAGCUUCAAAAUGCAAAGUACUAUUCUUUUCAAAUGGAGCAAAGGUCCUCCUCAAUAGGACCAGAUGUUUUCUACCUCUCUCUAUUUAUCCAUCCGUUGCCCCUUUAGUCAAUAACCGGAUCAUCCACCCUCACAUCGAAUCAAGAUUAGUCCCGCUUUCGUCACAAUCUCCCUUGCCUGAAUACCGCCUUGUCGUGCACACAGCUAGCACAAACCUUCCCAUCCAUCGUCAGAAGACUCCCUGUGAAAUUAACGAACUUCUUUCCCGCAGCCACCAACUGAACCACGACCCUCACCUUUGUACCCACCGGUAUAGGCCUCAGAAACGUCACUGUCAGUGUCCGACUGAGCGUCGAAAGCGUCGGGUCGCUACCGGGAACUGACAGCACUGCUGCCGACGUUAGCACGUCCAGAAUCGUCGUUGAGCAGCCGCCGUGUAAUAUUCCCAGCGAAUUGCACAUUCGCCCUGUCACUGUGAAUUCGAAUUCGACGGUGCUCGGCUCGACUUUGACGAGCUUGACGGCCUUCAUACAUGACGCAUCCCAACUGGAGGUCUCAGGGU